GACGAACGCUGGCGGCGUGCUUAACACAUGCAAGUCGAACGGAAAGGCCCCUUUGGGGGUACUCGAGUGGCGAACGGGUGAGUAACACGUGAGUAACCUGCCCUUGACUUCGGGAUAACUUCAGGAAACUGGGGCUAAUACCGGAUAGGAAUCCUUGCUGCAUGGUGGGGGUUGGAAAGCUUCGGCGGUUUUGGAUGGACUCGCGGCUUAUCAGCUUGUUGGUGGGGUAGUGGCUUACCAAGGCUUUGACGGGUAGCCGGCCUGAGAGGGCGACCGGCCACAUUGGGACUGAGAUACGGCCCAGACUCCUACGGGAGGCAGCAGUGGGGAAUAUUGCACAAUGGGCGGAAGUCUGAUGCAGCAACGCCGCGUGCGGGAGGACGGCCUUCGGGUUGUAAACCGCUUUCAGCAGGGGCGAAGCUUGUGGUGACGGUACCUGCAGAAGAAGCACCGGCUAACUACGUG
rnacentral:rRNA from 1 species